rnacentral:tRNA from 1 species
GCCUGGGUGGCUCAGUUGGUUAAGCAUCUGACUUCGGCUCAGGUUAUCAUCUUGCGAUUCAUGGGUUCGAGCCCCACGUCGGGCU